UACGUAGGGCGCAAGCGUUGUCCGGAAUUAUUGGGCGUAAAGAGCUCGUAGGCGGCCAGUUGCGUCUGCUGUGAAAUCCCGGGGCUCAACCCCGGGCGUGCAGUGGAUACGGGCUGGCUAGAGGCAGGCAGGGGAGAACGGAAUUCCCGGUGUAGCGGUGAAAUGCGCAGAUAUCGGGAGGAACACCGGUGGCGAAAGCGGCUCACUGGACCACAACUGACGCUGAGGCGCGAAAGCUAGGGGAGCAAACAGG
rnacentral:rRNA from 1 species